rnacentral:rRNA from 1 species
CCCCGCUGAAACUUAAGCAUAUCAAUAAGCGGAGGARAAGAAACUAACAAGGAUUCCCCUAGUAACUGCGAGUGAAGCGGGAAAAGCUCAAAUUUAAAAUCUGGCGUCUUCUGGCGUCCGAGUUGUAAUUUAGAGAAGUGUUACCCGUGCUGGACCGUGCACAAGUUCCCUGGAAUGGGACGUCAAAGAGGGUGAGAAUCCCGUAUUUGGCACGGACUACCAGUGCAUUGUGGUGCGCUCUCGAAGAGUCGAGUUGUUUGGGAAUGCAGCUCAAAAUGGGUGGUAAAUUCCAUCUAAAGCUAAAUAUUGGGGAGAGACCGAUAGCGAACAAGUACCGUGAGGGAAAGAUGAAAAGAACUUUGGAAAGAGAGUUAAACAGUACGUGAAAUUGCUGAAAGGGAAACGCUUGAAGUCAGUCGCGUUGUGCGGGAUUCAGCCUGGCUUUUGCUUGG